GACGAACGCUGGCGGCGUGCUUAACACAUGCAAGUCGAACGGGCCCGCUCUCUUUUUUGGGGGUGGGUUGAGUGGCGAACGGGUGAGUAUCACGUGAGUAACCUGCCCCCUGCUCCUGGAUAACUGCUUGAAAGGGCGGCUAAUACGGGGUGUGCCGGCUGGUCCGCAUGGGCCUGGUCGGGAUAGUUUCAUCUUCGGGUGUUUCGGUGGGGGAUGGGCUCGCGGCCUAUCAGCUUGUUGGUGGGGUGAUGGCCCACCAAGGCGGUGACGGGUAGCCGGCCUGGGAGGGUGGGCGGCCACACUGGGACUGAGACACGGCCCAGACUCCUGCGGGAGGCAGCAGUGGGGGGUAUUGCACGAUGGGCGGAAGCCUGAUGCAGCGACGGCGCGUGAGGGAUGGAGGCCUUCGGGUUGUGAACCUCUUUCUCCGGUGGUGAAGGCCCUGUCCGUUGCGGCGGGGUUGACGGUAGCCGGGUAUGAAGCGCCGGCUAACUACGUG
rnacentral:rRNA from 1 species